rnacentral:rRNA from 1 species
AUUGAACGCUGGCGGCGGGCCUAACACAUGCAAGUCGAACGGUAACAGGAAACAGCUUGCUGUUUCGCUGACGAGUGGCGGACGGGUGAGUAAUGUCUGGGAAACUGCCUGAUGGAGGGGGAUAACUACUGGAAACGGUAGCUAAUACCGCAUAACGUCGCAAGACCAAAGAGGGGGACCUUCGGGCCUCUUGCCAUCGGAUGUGCCCAGAUGGGAUUAGCUAGUAGGUGGGGUAACGGCUCACCUAGGCGACGAUCCCUAGCUGGUCUGAGAGGAUGACCAGCCACACUGGAACUGAGACACGGUCCAGACUCCUACGGGAGGCAGCAGUGGGGAAUAUUGCACAAUGGGCGCAAGCCUGAUGCAGCCAUGCCGCGUGUAUGAAGAAGGCCUUCGGGUUGUAAAGUACUUUCAGCGGGGAGGAAGGGAGUAAAGUUAAUACCUUUACUCAUUGACGUUACCCGCAGAAGAAGCACCGGCUAACUCCGUG